rnacentral:rRNA from 1 species
UUCGCCCUUAGAGUUUGAUCCUGGCUCAGGACGAACGCUGGCGGCGCGCCUAACACAUGCAAGUCGAACGAGCGAGAGAGAGCUUGCUUUCUCGAGCGAGUGGCGAACGGGUGAGUAACGCGUGAGGAACCUGCCUCAAAGAGGGGGACAACAGUUGGAAACGACUGCUAAUACCGCAUAAGCCCACGACCCGGCAUCGGGUAGAGGGAAAAGGAGCAAUCCGCUUUGAGAUGGCCUCGCGUCCGAUUAGCUAGUUGGUGAGGUAACGGCCCACCAAGGCGACGAUCGGUAGCCGGACUGAGAGGUUGAACGGCCACAUUGGGACUGAGACACGGCCCAGACUCCUACGGGAGGCAGCAGUGGGGAAUAUUGCACAAUGGGGGAAACCCUGAUGCAGCGACGCCGCGUGGAGGAAGAAGGUCUUCGGAUUGUAAACUCCUGUUGUUGAGGAAGAUAAUGACGGUACUCAACAAGGAAGUGACGGCUAACUACGUGCCAGCAGCCGCGGUAAAACGUAGGUCACAAGCGUUGUCCGGAAUUACUGGGUGUAAAGGGAGCGCAGGCGGGAAGACAAGUUGGAAGUGAAAUCCAUGGGCUCAACCCAUGAACUGCUUUCAAAACUGUUUUUCUUGAGUAGUGCAGAGGUAGGCGGAAUUCCCGGUGUAGCGGUGGAAUGCGUAGAUAUCGGGAGGAACACCAGUGGCGAAGGCGGCCUACUGGGCACCAACUGACGCUGAGGCUCGAAAGUGUGGGUAGCAAACAGGAAUUAGAUACCCUGGUAGUCCACACCGUAAACGAUGAUUACUAGGUGUUGGAGGAUUGACCCCUUCAGUGCCGCAGUUAACACAAUAAGUAAUCCACCUGGGGAGUACGACCGCAAGGUUGAAACUCAAAGGAAUUGACGGGGGCCCGCACAAGCAGUGGAGUAUGUGGUUUAAUUCGACGCAACGCGAAGAACCUUACCAAGUCUUGACAUCCCUUGACGAUGCUGGAAACAGUAUUUCUCUUCGGAGCAAGGAGACAGGUGGUGCAUGGUUGUCGUCAGCUCGUGUCGUGAGAUGUUGGGUUAAGUCCCGCAACGAGCGCAACCCUUAUGGUCAGUUACUACGCAAGAGGACUCUGGCCAGACUGCCGUUGACAAAACGGAGGAAGGUGGGGAUGACGUCAAAUCAUCAUGCCCUUUAUGACUUGGGCUACACACGUACUACAAUGGCGUUAAACAAAGAGAAGCAAGACCGCGAGGUGGAGCAAAACUCAGAAACAACGUCCCAGUUCGGACUGCAGGCUGCAACUCGCCUGCACGAAGUCGGAAUUGCUAGUAAUCGUGGAUCAGCAUGCCACGGUGAAUACGUUCCCGGGCCUUGCACACACCGCCCGUCA